rnacentral:lncRNA from 1 species
CCCCCGUGACACCCCUCAUUAUUUUUCUCUAGGAGCCGUGGAAUAGGUCGACCCCCCUAUUUUUGGACCAUUUUUUUCAAAUUUUGGGCUCUAGUUUCAGAUUUUUGAACAUAGCGCCCUUCGAUACCUUGCGCAAAAGAAGCGCCUGUUUCUCCUCUACAAGACCUAUAUAGUCAUACCCCGUGACACCCCUCAUUAUUUUUUCUCUAGGAAGCCCUGGAAUAGGUCGACCCCCCUAUUUUUUGACCAUUUUUUUUCAAAUUUUGGGCUCUAGUUUCAGAUUUUUGAACAUAGCGCCCUUCGAUACCUUGCGCAAAAGAAGCGCCUGUUUCUCCUCUACAAGACCUAUAUAGUCAUACCCCGUGACACCCCUCAUUAUUUUUCUCUAGGAGCCGUGGAAUAGGUCGACCCCCCUAUUUUGGACCAUUUUUUUUCAAAUUUUGGGCUCUAGUUUCAGAUUUUUGAACAUAGCGCCCUUCGAUACCUUGCGCAAAAGAAGCGCCUGUUUCUCCUCUACAAGACCUAUAUAGUCAUACCCCCGUGACACCCCUCAUUAUUUUUCUCUAGGAGCCGUGGAAUAGGUCGACCCCCUAUUUUGGACCAUUUUUUUACAAAUUUUGGGCUCUAGUUUCAGAUUUUUUGAACAUAGCGCCCUUCGAUACCUUGCGCAAAAGAAGCGCCUGUUUCUCCUCUACAAGACCUAUAUAGUCAUACCCCGUGACACCCCUCAUUAUUUUUCUCUAGGAAGCCGUGGAAUAGGUCCGACCCCCUAUUUUUGGACCAUUUUUUUUCAAAUUUUGGGCUCUAGUUUCAGAUUUUUGAACAUAGCGCCCUUCGAUACCUUGCGCAAAAGAAGCGCCUGUUUCUCCUCUACAAGACCUAUAUAGUCAUACCCCGUGACACCCCUCAUUAUUUUUCUCUAGGAGCCCUGGAAUA